rnacentral:rRNA from 1 species
GACGAACGCUGGCGGCGUGCUUAACACAUGCAAGUCGAGCGGAAAGGCCCUUUCGGGGGUACUCGAGCGGCGAACGGGUGAGUAACACGUGAGUAAUCUGCCCCUGGCUUUGGGAUAGCCACCGGAAACGGUGAUUAAUACCGGAUACGACCACUUCUCGCAUGGGAUGGUGGUGGAAAGUUUUUCGGCCAGGGAUGUGCUCGCGGCCUAUCAGCUUGAUGGUGAGGUAAUGGCUCACCAUGGCUUCGACGGGUCGCCGGCCUGAGAGGGUGGCGGGUCACACUGGGACUGAGACACGGCCCAGACUCCUACGGGAGGCAGCAGUGGGGAAUAUUGGACAAUGGGCGGAAGCCUGAUCCAGCAACGCCGCGUGAGGGAUGACGGCCUUCGGGUUGUAAACCUCUUUCAGCAGGGACGAAGCGCAAGUGACGGUACCUGCAGAAGAAGCACCGGCCAACUACGUGCCAGCAGCCGCCGUAA